UUUACAUGCUAGGAAACUGGACUUUAGAACAGUAUAGCAACUUGAUUCAAGCUACUAAAGAGACAGAUCAGGGAUUCCAUUCCAGAUAGAUCUAACUCCAGAGCCCCAUUUUUAAUCAUCAUGUGUAGAAAACCAAAAUUCUACACCUUUGAGAACACUCUUCCUGGAUAGGACUUUAAGGCAUAUUGACCUUGUUUUGUUAGAGGAACAGAAUUCAGUAGCCAGACAGCACAUAGUUUCCUCUAUCUGUCAGUGCCUCGGGCCAGAAAUAGAUUCUAGAAAUCAGAUAAAUGAGCAUCAGAGAUAAACCACUCACAAAGCAGAACUUGAGGGAGCAUGUGGGAAGGAGUGUGAAUUCUGGGCUCAGUCUGGCUCAGAGUUGAUUUGUCUCAAGGUUAAAGUAGUCCCCUUGUCUUCCAGGGGCAGCCGAUACAUGAAAAUAGAUCUACUGUGAACUUCAGUCACAGCUCUAAAUAAAAAGGUGGCAUGCUAACAUAGAUGAAAAUUCUUCACUUUCCCAAGUCACACUUUUAUGAGAGAUACUGGUUGACACCAAGGAGAAGUAUAGCAAAGUACUGGGAAAGUUCCAGAAACUUCCUGAAGAAAACAGUAGAUGCAAAAAUGAAGACAAAGUCAACACUGCCUUUAUGUCCAAGGCCCACAGCUCUUAAAGCUCUUCCAAGGAAGAAGGAUGCCCUUGUAGAGCAAUGGUCGCACAAGAAAAGCAGAAUGAAGAAAGUCAAAGACUAUGCCCAUCCCAAUCUUUAUCAAAAACUCAGAUACCUGAGAUCAUAUUGCAAUAGCUCCAGGCCUACAGGAAAGGAAACUGAGGCUCAAGAUGAUGCAGCAGUGUGACUCCAGCGCCCUCGGUCCUCACACAGGGCUCUAUGCCUCCUCAAGUAUGGCAAGCUCUGAAGUUUGUCUCCCCUCCCUAGGCAAUGGGGAGCCACUAGAUAUUUUAGGAAAAGAACAGUGACUUAAGAAGAGCUUUUUGUACAUGUGAAUCAUGACCCCCAGAAUCAGGAAGGAGGCAACAAUGAUGCUGUUUCUGACAAGCAGGAAUGGGUACUGCCACAUGUUACUCUGAUACGCCAUGCAGAAUCCAACGUGAGCUGUCACACGGAGCAUACCUGGUCAAAAGAAAAGAAAGAGAAUAAUGGAGAGAUAUGUAAAGGACUCAAAAAUGCAGAGCUCCCAAGAAGAAGUAGGAGCCGUGGACCGAAGUCUGGGUAGCAGAGACGGGGACGGAAGGCGACAGGUAAUCAGCUUGG